AACGAACGCUGGCGGCAUGCCUAACACAUGCAAGUCGAACGAGACCUUCGGGUCUAGUGGCGCACGGGUGCGUAACGCGUGGGAACCUGCCCUUAGGUUCGGAAUAACUCCCCGAAAGGGGUGCUAAUACCGGAUAAUGUCUUCGGACCAAAGAUUUAUCGCCUUUGGAUGGGCCCGCGUUGGAUUAGCUAGUAGGUAGGGUAAAAGCCUACCAAGGCGACGAUCCAUAGCUGGUCUGAGAGGAUGAUCAGCCACACUGGGACUGAGACACGGCCCAGACUCCUACGGGAGGGAGCAGUGGGGAAUAUUGGAAAAUGGGCGAAAGCCUGAUCCAGCAAUGCCGCGUGAGUGAUGAAGGCCUUAGGGUUGUAAAGCUCUUUUACCCGGGAUGAUAAUGACAGUACCGGGAGAAUAAGCUCCGGCUAACUCCGUG
rnacentral:rRNA from 1 species